rnacentral:rRNA from 1 species
GACGAACGCUGGCGGCGUGCUUAACACAUGCAAGUCGAACGAAGUGGCGAACGGGUGAGUAACGCGUAAUCAACCUGCCCUUCAGAGGGGGACAACAGUUGGAAACGACUGCUAAUACCGCAUACUGAAGGCGGGGAUUGCGUCUGAUUAGCGAGUUGGAGGGGUAACGGCUCACCAAGGCGAUGAUGGGUAGCCGGCCUGAGAGGGUGAUCGGCCACAAGGGGACUGAGAAACGGCCCUUACUCCUACGGGAGGCAGCAGUGGGGAAUAUUGGACAAUGGACCAAAGUCUGAUCCAGCAAUUCUGUGUGCACGAUGAAGUUUUUCGGAAUGUAAAGUGCUUUCAGUUGGGAAGCAGUACCAACAGAAGAAGUGACGGCUAAAUACGUGCCAGCAGCCGCGGUAAUAC